CCAGAGAGAGGCCCUACCGGUCCCGACCUCCAACCCUGGCCCAUCGUACCCGUUGUUCGGGGCGACCCUGCCGUCGACGGCGCUGCGGCCCCCGGCGGUAUAUCAACACUGAACUCUUUGCGACAGCAUCCGGAAGUCUCUGAUCGAAUGACAAUAGUCA
rnacentral:misc_RNA from 1 species